rnacentral:rRNA from 1 species
GGGUGGASGUAACACKUUGAGUAACCUGCCCUUGACUCUGGGAUAAGCGCUAGAAAUGGCGUCUAAUACCGGAUACGAGCUUCAGCCGCAUGGCUAGGAGUUGGAAAGAAUUUUGGUCAAGGAUGGACUCGCGGCCUAUCAGCUAGUUGGUGAGGUAAUGGCUCACCAAGGCGACGACGGGUAGCCGGCCUGAGAGGGUGACCGGCCACACUGGGACUGAGACACGGCCCAGACUCCUACGGGAGGCAGCAGUGGGGAAUAUUGCACAAUGGGCGAAAGCCUGAUGCAGCAACGCCGCGUGAGGGAUGACGGCCUUCGGGUUGUAAACCUCUUUUAGUAGGGAAGAAGCGAAAGUGACGGUACCUGCAGAAAAAGCACCGGCUAACUACGUGCCAGCCGCCGCGGUAAUACAA